GUGCCACAAAUAAUGCUAAAACUUUGGAUCAAUAACUUCCUAUGACCUUCAAGCAUAUUUUAUCAACAGCUAGGUCAAAAUUUUAUUUAUUACCUGCUAUGUAUAAAUAAUGCUUUUUUCUGUUUUUUUAAACUUUGACAUGUUGAAGACUGGUCUACUAACACUUUAUAUGCUAUAUAUCGACUUUGAAGUCCAUUCUUUCUCUGUUUUCCUAAAAAAACAGCGCCUAAUUUCAAAAUUAGCAAUGUUAGAUGCUAAUUGGAAUUAAUGCAACUUCACACGUAUCACAGUCCAUUUGUUGCUUCCACAAAAAAGAAAAGCAAUAUUAUGUGGCUGUUAGCAUUCUUAACCAUGCUGCAAAAGUGGAUCAUAGUAAAUAAUGGAAUCACCCACAUAUUCAAUACACAUAUAAUGACUCAAAUUUGCCAACAGAACUCUAACGAUCCAUUUGGUAUUGCUGUUGAGAAAAGCAUUUUCUUAAAUAUGUUAGUUAGCCAGUAUUAAAAUUUCGUUAAAAAAAAAAAAAUUUGUUAUGCAUUAGCCAAACAAACACUAAAAUAACAAAAUGAAAAUUUUCAAACUGUUUUUUUCAACAGCAUCUAAAA
rnacentral:misc_RNA from 1 species